rnacentral:tRNA from 1 species
UCUCUGGUGGUUCAGUGGCUAAGACUCCACGCUCCCAAUGCGCGGGGCCCAGGUUCAAUCCCUGGUCAGGGAG